rnacentral:rRNA from 1 species
AACGAACGCUGGCGGCAUGCCUAACACAUGCAAGUCGAACGAGACCUUCGGGUCUAGUGGCGCACGGGUGCGUAACGCGUGGGAACCUGCCUUUAGGUUCGGAAUAACUCAGAGAAAUUUGAGCUAAUACCGGAUGAUGUCUUCGGACCAAAGAUUUAUCGCCUUUAGAUGGGCCCGCGUUGGAUUAGCUAGUUGGUGGGGUAAAGGCCUACCAAGGCGACGAUCCAUAGCUGGUCUGAGAGGAUGAUCAGCCACACUGGGACUGAGACACGGCCCAGACUCCUACGGGAGGCAGCAGUGGGGAAUAUUGGGCAAGGGGCGAAAGCCUGAUCCAGCAAUGCCGCGUGAGUGAUGAAGGCCGUAGGGUUGUAAAGCUCUUUUACCCGAGAUGAUAAUGACAGUAUCGGGAGAAUAAGCUCCGGCUAACUCCGUG